AUUUACACUACAUUACCAUCGCUAUGCCAGAGUUCCAAUAGAAUAGGAAUGCUUCUAAUGGUGUUCUACCACCAUUAUUACCAGUAUCCAGCCAUCAGUGAAAGUGUUAAGCAGCCAGAGAGAAAUCAGACAAAAAAACCUCACCUGUUUGUAUUUAGUAAGAGAGCCCUGUAUUGAUUCACAUUUGCAGCUACAAGGGCUAGAACAUUACAUUUAAAAAAACCCGAAGGGAUGAGCGCCUCUGGCUCCCUCCCGACAAGUAGGAUCAGCAGCCCUGAGGUAGCAGCCUGGGAACAAGGGAGCCAGCGGUAGCUGUGUGACAGAGAAUUAAUUCAGUGUUCAUGGGAGACUGAAGUCCUUGAUCCACAGAACAGGCACACGUGGGCCAGCUCAGGCCAUCCAUCCUUCCUUCAACUGACCUGCCAGUAUGCCUCAAGAGUACAGCUGAGUGUGCAGCAUGUGUUUCCCACUGAUACCAAGUUACACCAAAUGGGGGCACAUUUUGCAUGGGUUGAUUUAAUAGACAAAAGUUGAUUCAACGCUAGGAAAGUGAAAAAUACAUAAAGCAACAAAAUCUCAUCUGGAAGGAUACCUGAGAAAGAUCAACAUUCAUGUGUCAAUAAUUCACAUUUGCCAGAGGGUAGAAUAUUGAGAGAAAUAUAAGAAUAUAUAAACUACUCUUUAAUCUCAGAAGCAAGGCACACAAGGAGCUUGGUUCAGGUUGACACUUCCCUCCAGAACAAUUACCAUGCAAAAGCAUAGCACUGUCUGGAAAGAGAGCAGCCAGCCUUGAGGAAGUGGUACGGAGAUGCUCAUUUGGACACAAGAUAUAAAAGGGUUACAGACAAAACAAGAACCUAACUUUUUUUUAUCCAAAGCCCCAGUUGCAACAGUGAAUGAAUUUGGAAAACAUACAAGGGAUGUGAGAGUCAAACUAACAUGUCUCUCUUCAGAGAUACUGAGGUGUGCUCCGUGUUGGGUGAGGGUGGGAUGCCUGGUGCUAUAACCAGUUAGGCAUAGCAAAGAAACAUGAAAAGUGUAACAGUUCUGUGAGUAAAAAGAGGAGGAUGGAUGACCUAAGACACCUGAUCCAACAGGGAAGUGAUAAGUGCCUGGAAAUCAGGCUGGAUCUCAGACAUGCUGGUCAAAAGGACGAACCAGAGAGAAGCUUUCUGGAAAUGCAAGUUGCGGUGUUUUUGCAUUCUAACGAACCCAUCUGGAGGUUAGCUAUUAGAACUGAAUGAAAAAUGCCAUUUUUUCAUGAGAGAGAUACGGAAUUGUUUUUGUUUAAAAUUUUCUGCAAAUUUUUUUUGGGAGGGAUGGCAAUGAAGAA